rnacentral:misc_RNA from 1 species
UACGGAAGGUCCGGGCGUUAUCCGGAUUUAUUGGGUUUAAAGGGAGCGUAGAUGGGUUGUUAAGUCAGUUGUGAAAGUUUGCGGCUCAACCGUAAAAUUGCAAUUGAUACUGGCAGUCUUGAGUACAGUUGAGGUAGGCGGAAUUCGUGGUGUAGCGGUGAAAUGCUUUGAUAUCACGAAGAACCCCGACUGCGAAGGCAGCAUACGGCAGCGCUACUGACGCUGAAGCUCGAAGGCGCGGGUAUCGAACAGG